GAUGAAGAACGUAGCGAAAUGCGAUAAGUAAUGCGAAUUGCAGAAUUUCCGUGAGUCAUCGAAUCUUUGAACGCACAUGGCGCCUUCCAGUAUCCUGGGAGGCAUGCCUGUCCGAGCGUCGUUUCAACCCUCGAGCCCUCGUGGCCCGGCGUUGGGGAUCUGCCACGGCAGGCCCCGAAAUACAGUGGCGGACCCGUUAGGCCCUUCCUUUGCGUAGUAGCAUCAGCCUCGCAUCGGGAGCCGGCGGGCUCUCCUGCCUCUAAACCCCCCAACAAGCCCGCUCCGGCGGCACCAAGGUUGACCUCGGAUCAGGUAGGAAUACCCGCUGAACUUAAGCAUAUCAAUAAGCGGAGGA
rnacentral:misc_RNA from 1 species